AUUGAACGCUGGCGGCAGGCCUAACACACGCAAGUCGGACGGUAGCACAGAGAGCUUGCUCUUGGGUGACGAGUGGCGGACGGGUGAGUAAUGUCUGGGGAUCUGCCCGAUAGAGGGGGAUAACCACUGGAAACGGUGGCUAAUACCGCAUAACGUCGCCAGACCAAAGAGGGGGACCUUCGGGCCUCUCACUAUCGGAUGAACCCAGAUGGGAUUAGCUCGUAGGCGGGGUAAUGGCCCCCCUAGGCGACGAUCCCUAGCUGGUCUGAGAGGAUGACCAGCCACACGGGAACUGAGACACGGUCCAGACUCCUACGGGAGGCAGCAGUGGGGAAUAUUGCACAAUGGGCGCAAGCCUGAUGCAGCCAUGCCGCGUGUAUGAAGAAGGCCUUCGGGUUGUAAAGUACUUUCAGCGGGGAGGAAGGCGGUGAGGUUAAUAACCUCGCCGAUUGACGUUACCCGCAGAAGAAGCACCGGCUAACUCCGUGCCAGCAGCCGCGGUAA
rnacentral:rRNA from 1 species